rnacentral:rRNA from 1 species
ACAAGAUAAUAAGGGCAAUUGGUGGAUGCCUUGGCGUCAAGAGGCGAUGAAGGACGCGGUAGGCUGCGAAAAACCUCGGGGAGCCGCCAAACAGGCUAUGAUCCGGGGGUGUCCGAAUGGGGCAACCCGGCUGGAGUCAUGUCCAGUCAUCUCCUUACUGAAUUCAUAGGUUUGGAGAAGCGAACGCAGGGAAGUGAAACAUCUCAGUACCUGCAGGAAGAGAAAUCAACCGAGAUUCCCCUAGUAGCGGCGAGCGAAAAGGGAAGAGCCCAAACCGGGUGGAUUCGUCCAUCCGGGGUUGUGGGACCGGCUAUAGCGAUCUGUAAUUAGGCAGGGGAAGCGUCUGGGAAGGCGCGCCGUAGAGAGUGAAAGCCUCGUACCUGAAACCGAAAGCAGCGUGGCCGGCACCCGAGUACCACGAGGCCCGUGAAACCUCGUGGGAAUCUGGGGGGACCAUCCUCCAAGGCUAAAUACUCCUUGACGACCGAUAGUGCACAAGUACCGUGAGGGAAAGGUGAAAAGAACCCCUGUUAGGGGAGUGCAAUAGAACCUGAAACCGAUUGCCUACAAGCGGUGGGAGCAGCUUCGGCUGUGACCGCGUGCCUUUUGCAUAAUGAGUCAGCGAGUUACUAUCAUGUGCGAGGUUAAGUCUAAACUGACGGAGCCGCAGCGAAAGCGAGUCUGAAUAGGGCGCUUGAGUACAUGGUAGUAGACCCGAAACCGAGUGAUCUAUCCAUGAGCAGAGUGAAGCUCGGGUAAAACCGAGUGGAGGCUCGAACCAGUUAGGGCUGAAAACCUUUUGGAUGACUUGUGGAUAGGGGUGAAAGACCAAUCAAACUCGGUGAUAGCUGGUUCUCCCCGAAAUAUAUUGAGGUAUAGCCUCGGAUUAGACGAACGGAGGUAGAGCACUGAAAGGGCUAGGGGCCCCACCAGGUUACCAAACCCUAUCAAACUCCGAAUGCCGUUCGUUGAUGUCCGGGAGUCAGACUCUGGGUGCGAAGGUCCAGGGUCGAGAGGGUAAGAGCCCAGAUCGCCGGCUAAGGUUCCCAAGUUCAUGCUAAGUGUGAAAGGAAGUGACGUCGCUCAGACAUCCAGGAGGUUGGCUUAGAAGCAGCCAUCCUUUAAAGAAAGCGUAAUAGCUCACUGGCCUAGCGACGUCGCGCCGAAAAUGUAUCGGAGCUAAGCAUGACACCGAAGCCGCGGGAUCGCACUAUGUGCGAUCGGUAGGGGAGCGUUCUGAGAUGGGAUGAAGGUGAGGUGUAAACCUUGCUGGACUAAUCAGAAGUGAUAAUGCUGACAUGAGUAACGUUAAAACGAGUGAGAAACUCGUUCGCCGUAAGCCCAAGGUUUCCUGGGUAAAGUUAAUCUUCCCAGGGUGAGUCGGCCCCUAAGGCGAGGCUGAAAAGCGUAGCUGAUGGGAAACAGGUUAAUAUUCCUGUACCUGUUUGAGUGUGCGAUGGGGGGACACGGAAGGGUAGACCAUCCGGCUGUUGGAUGCCGGUGUAAGCGUGUAGGCUUGAGCGUAGGCAAAUCCGCGCUCUUCAAGGCCGAGACGUGAUGCCGUGACUUUAUAGUCUGAAGUGGUUGAUCCCAUGCCGUCGAGAAAAGCCUCUAAGUUUAGCUCAGACAGACCGUACCGCAAACCGACUCUGGUGGGCGGGGAGAAUAUCCCAAGGCGCUUGAGAGAACUCCGGUUAAGGAACUCGGCAAAUUGACCCCGUAACUUCGGGAUAAGGGGUGCCUUCAGGUGUUAAGUACUUGCUACGUAAGCACCCGAAGGCCGCAGAGAAAUGGCGGUGGCGACUGUUUACUAAAAACACAGGUCUGUGCGAAGUCGUAAGACGACGUAUACAGACUGACUCCUGCCCGGUGCCGGAAGGUUAAGGGGUGAGGUCAGCGUAAGCGAAGCCUUAAACCGAAGCCCCGGUAAACGGUAACGGUCCUAAGGUAGCGAAAUUCCUUGUCGGGUAAGUUCCGACCUGCACGAAUGGAGUAACGAUCUCCGCACUGUCUCAACCGGAGGCUCAGUGAAAUUGAAGUGGCGGUGAAAAUGCCGUCUACCCGCGGAAAGACGGAAAGACCCUGUGCACCUUUACUAUAGCUUGGCAUUGGUUUUUGGGCAUUGAUGUGUAGGAUAGGUGGGAGACUGUGAACCCUGUGCGCUAGCAUGGGCGGAGUCAACCUUGAAAUACCACCCUUGGAUGUCUAAGAAUCUAACUCUGUCCCGUAAUCCGGGCGGAGGACAUUGCCUGGUGGGUAGUUUGACUGGGGCGGUCGCCUCCCAAAUUGUAACGGAGGCUUGCAAAGGUUCCCUCAGGCUGAUUGGAAACCAGCCGUUGAGUGCAAAAGCAUAAGGGAGCUUGACUGUGAGAGAGACAUCUCGAGCAGGAACGAAAGUUGGCUUUAGUGAUCCGGUGGUCCCGUAUGGAAGGGCCAUCGCUCAAAGGAUAAAAGGUACGCCGGGGAUAACAGGCUGAUCGCAUCCAAGAGUUCAUAUCGACGAUGCGGUUUGGCACCUCGAUGUCGGCUCAUCACAUCCUGGGGCUGGAGCAGGUCCCAAGGGUUCGGCUGUUCGCCGAUUAAAGUGGUACG